rnacentral:rRNA from 1 species
AUACGGAGGAUCCGAAGCGUUAUCCGGAUUUAUUGGGUUUAAAGGGAGCGUAGGUUGACGUAUAAGUCAGCUGUGAAAGUUUACGGCUCAACCGUGAAAUUGCAGUUGAUACUGUAUGUCUUGAGUGUACAAGAGGUGGGCGGAAUUCGUGGUGUAGCGGUGAAAUGCUUAGAUAUCACGAAGAACUCCAACUGCGAAGGCAGCUCACUGGGGUACAACUGACACUGAGGCUCGAAAGUGUGGGUAUC